rnacentral:rRNA from 1 species
CGACACGGAGAACGGCCUGGCGGCCGUAGCUUAAUACAUGCAAAUCGAACGAAGCACCUCUCCCGUUGAUUGACCUAGCUUGCUAGAGAUUGAACAAUUGAGGUGACUGAGUGGCGGACGGGUGAGUAAUGCGUGGGUAACCUGCCUUGGUACAGGGGGAGUAACAGUUGGAAACGACUGCUAAUACCGCAUAAGCGCACAGUAUCGCAUGAUACAGUGUGAAAAACUCCGGUGGUACAAGAUGGACCCGCGUCUGAUUAGCUAGUUGGAGGGGUAACGGCCCACCAAGGCAACGAUCAGUAGCCGACUUGAGAGAGUGGUCGGCCACAUUGGGACUGAGACACGGCCCAAACUCCUACGGGAGGCAGCGGUAGGGAAUAUUGCACAAUGGGGGAAACCCUGAUGCAGCGACGCCGCGUGAAGGAUGAAGUAUUUCGGUAUGUAAACUUCUAUCAGCAAGGAAGAAAAUGACGGUACUUGACUAAGAAGCCCCGGCUAAAUACGUG